rnacentral:rRNA from 1 species
CNCCGUAAACGAUGAGUGCUAGGUGUUAGGCCCUUUCCGGGGNUUAGUGCCGCAGCUAACGCAUUAAGCACUCCGCCUGGGGAGUACGACCGCAAGGUUGAAACUCAAAGGAAUUGACGGGGGCCCGCACAAGCGGUGGAGCAUGUGGUUUAAUUNGAAGCAACGCGAAGAACCUUACCAGGUCUUGACAUCCCGAUGCCCGCUCUAGAGAUAGAGUUUUACUUCGGUACAUCGGUGACAGGUGGUGCAUGGUUGUCGUCAGCUCGUGUCGUGUGAUGUUGGGUUAAGUCCCGCAACGAGCGCAACCCUUAUUGUUAGUUGCCAUCAUUCAGUUGGGCACUCUAGCGAGACUGCCGGUAAUAAACCGGAGGAAGGUGGGGAUGACGUCAAAUCAUCAUGCCCCUUAUGACCUGGGCUACACACGUGCUACAAUGGCUGGUACAACGAGUCGCAAGUCGGUGACGGCAAGCUAAUCUCUUAAAGCCAGUCUCAGUUCGGAUUGUAGGCUGCAACUCGCCUACAUGAAGUCGGAAUCGCUAGUAAUCGCGGAUCAGCACGCCGCGGUGAAUACGUUCCCGGGCCUUGUACACACCGCCCGUCACACCACGAGAGUUUGUAACACCCGAAGUCGGUGAGGNA